CAAAUAAUAAUGAUCUGGAAGAGAAAUACUUACAUUUGAAAAUUUUGCAGACAAAAGAGGAAACAGAUUGGCAUCUACUAAAUGCCCUCAGCAGAUUUCCCCCUACUAACCUUGUUUCUUUGAUGAAUGUUUCCACUACCCCCCAACAUGAACUUCCAACCACAUGUGCCCUACUUCUGAAAAUGAACUUCAGAGAUCCUCCAAAUGAUAGCUGUGAGAUAAAAGGUGGAAGUGGACUAUGACAGAGAAGAGAAGGAAGAGUAUGAAAGCGACAGAGAAGACUCAGCCACACCAAGCGAGGACAUGACGUCGUCACCCUGCGCUCAGCACAACGGCAGCUACAAGACUCACCAUGAGCAGGAUGUCUCUAUGGAGUCACACAGCACCAAGUGACUGUUAGAGCACCGUGGACACUACUCCUGCUCCAGCAAAGUAUCCUAACGCCCAUUAUGUGCGUAUACAUGCAUAAACACUGAAUAACCACUUAACAGUUACACACAUCUCUCAUCAUCAUCUCCUGAUUUCCUCCUUUUGAUACAUUCUUGGCGACACAGAUCCUGUAGUUAACUCAAAUUCCACCUAAAGGGUAAGUGAGCGCUCGGCACACAAAAAUCUACAAGCUCAGAAACUACUCUAUAGUCGAUGCAACACAUCAAGAAAAACAGCAGUGUUUGUUUAAAGGCAGUGAAAUUUGAUCACGUAAUGUUCCACAGAUCCUGCAAUGUCCUUGUUGCUUGAAGACCUGAAUUCCUUUCUCUGUAGGUAUAAAGCUAGAUAGUGACCAGAGGAGAUUGAAAACAUAUACAGGCCUGAGCCAGCUUCAGAGGCUCCUCCUAGUUUGUCACAAGAGAGUCACUUUUCAGGCAGAGAUCUCACAAAAAAACAGAACACACAGUCAUUUCUCAAUCACAUUGAAGCUGGAUUUCAACUGUGGUUUUGUCUCUGAUUUGCAUGGAUCUUGACUAUGAGCUUGAGUAGUUCAAAAAGCCUUUUAUUUCUCCAAGAUCAGCAUUUUGUAGUCAGUCUUUAUUACAUAUACCAUUUUUUUUUAAAGUUUUUGUCUUCAUAUUGAAACAGUCUGCUUUAAUAGUAAUAAGAUUAAUUUAUUUGUGGAAUCAGCGUUUUGCCUUCAUUACUAUGAUACAGUUCAUGUCUGUAGUGCAUGAGAAGCGGUUUAAGUUCCCAAAUACUUAAGAGGAAGGAGACUAGAAGCCAUUUGUGGUCCUAAGGAGAGAAAUAUUGAUUUAAUAAGUAGCUUUUUAUACUAAGUGUUAAAAAUGGCAACACAAUUAAAAACUACGGUAAAGGUGUAUUACCCUUGAAGUGAUUUUCUAAAGACAAUCUGCAACUGGUUCUGUCUGUAUCUAUUAACUGAGGCUACGUCUACACUAAUACAUGUCAUCUUUAAAAAGCAGAACUUGUGCUCCAUUCACACCAAUCAAACACACUACUGCAACAUUUUAGGACCCCUAAAGUUGAGACUUUUGCAAAAACACAGACUUUUGGAAACUGAAGCAGAUCUCUAUAGGGUUUUACUGUCACAAUGUCCCUUACUCAUCACAUUUCUAUCACAUGAGCGUUUCUGGUUCCCAGCCUUGACUGUCAGUGGUUAAUUGAACAAAGAUAACUAACUAGGCUAUAGGUGUUGCUGACCUUGUUGUCCACUAGCAGAUGUUGCGCUGUGAAACAACUCUCAGCUUUUUUUUUUGUUCUUCCUCUGUAGCAUUUUCUACAACUAAGCAAACAACGUUU
ensembl:lncRNA